GUUUUAUAAGUGUUUGGCAGUUCCUCCUUCAAUUACUCUCCCUCUUGCUCUCUCGCCUGCUGCUGCGUAGGACGUGCUUGCUUCCUCCUCGGCUUCUGUCAUGAUUUUAAGUUUCCUGAAGUCUCCUAGCCAUGCUUCCUAUUAAGUCUGCAGAACGAGCCCGCCUGGAGUUUCCUGUCAUGUGUACUUUUCAUUGGCAGUUCACAACAUGGCAGCUUGCUUCUUCAAGGCCAGUAGAAGGAAAAUCUGCUAGCAAGAUGGAGGCUUAUAUAACAUCACACAAUCGUUGGAGUAACUGACUUCCCAUCACCUUUACCAUAUUAUGUUAAUUAGAAGCAAGUCACAAGUCUAUCUACAUUCAAGGGGAGAUAGUUACACAAAGGCAUGAAUGCCAAGAGGUAGGGGUUGGAAGUGGUGCAUCUAGAAUUUGCCUAUUGUCUGCAAAUAUAGGUACACAUGCAUAUAUUUACUAGGCCUGUCCACUGAAAAGCGAUAACAGUAAAAUUAGUAUAAAAAUUGGUAACUUUUCAAUUAUAGCUAAAAGAUUGACUUUUCUCUAAAAACAAAAACUUAAGAUGGUCUCUGUCUUCAAUGAGGUACAACUUCUUUUGGUGGGCUGUUUCCCUCUACCACUCUACAGCAAAUGAAAUUUAUAAAGCACUGAUCUGGCUUAGUUUGAUAUAUCAUAUAUUAAAAGUAAUGACUUUUUAUUCAUGUAUGAAAAUCAUUUUACAAAAUAUUUAUGAUAUUAAAUUUAAAUGCUUUAACUUAUGUGGUUAAUAUAGUUCUUUAAAUUUGUAGCUGAAGAAAACUAAAAAAUUUUUAGCAAAUGCUCUUCUCAUUGUAUGGAACUAUAUUUCAAUGCAAAUUUUUAUGAAUCAUGGGAGACAUAAUUACUUUAGACAUGUAGAAACUACGAAAAUAACUCAAUAAAAUGAUGCAGCAUAAAGCAGGAAUAGUUCUUCAAGCAUUACCAGAAACAAGGGUGGUGGAGGUCAAGAGUUCAAAAAAAGUCAUAGUUAUAUCAGAAUCUGAAAGAAAUUAGGUGCAAGAGAAGGGAAAAAUAGAGGCAAACCACAUAAUUGUCAUAUUAAUUAGGGAUAAUGUCAAGGAAACAGUUGAUGACUGCUCGUAUGGCAAGCUAACUAGCAAAGGUUAUAGAAGAUCUUUUAGCAACAUAAUAUCUUGCACGCAUGUAAUUUAUUUUUGAAUUCUACAAUUUCAACAAGCUGGCAUCUUGUUCAUCCAAAAUUGUCUUAGUAAUAUGAAGUAAAUAUAGAACAAUUUUUAAGGGAAUAUUUAUGUCUGGCUGUGUACAUUAGCCAUAGCAUAACAAAUUAAAAACUAAUAACAAAGAUGAUCAUUUAGUAGCAAAACCGCAAGAAGCAAAUAAAGGACAAAUCAACAUAAAAUUUUCUAAUCGACAAUUAAAAAAAUAGGGUCAGCAUGUGUGCUAUUUCAAAAUUUUAAAGAGCCUUACACUCACUAUAAAUUACAAACUUUACCAAAACAUUUUUUCUGUAAUAUUUACAGAUGCAACUUGUUAAUAUGUAUUACAUUUCCCACCUAGAAUAAAACACAGUUUUUACUGUUUUUAAAAAAAAUCUAUUUGUUAGGGUUCCAUUACGGAAAUAUAAUUAUUAUGAGUUGCUAUGGUCUGAAGGUUUGUGGCCACACAAAAUUUAUUUGUUGAAAUCUAAUCCGUGUGCAGUAAUAUUAAAGGUGGGGCUUUUAGGAGGUGAUUAGGUCGUGAGGGCAGAGCCCUCAUGAAUGAGACUAGUGUCCUUAUGAAAGAGGCCCACAGGAGGUUGCUUGACCCUUCUACCAUGUGAGGACACAGCAAGAAGUCAUCUUCUGUGAACCAAGAGCUUUCACCAGACACUGAAUCUGUUGGCACCUUGAUCUUUGGCUUCCCAGGCUCCGGAAUCAUGGGAAUAAAUUUCUACUGUUUAUAAAUUGCCAAGCCUAAGGUAUUUUUAUAGCAGCCCGAACAACCUAAGACAUAAGUACAAUGGAAAAAUUAAGUUAUUGAAAGAAUAAAGCCUACGCUUGUGGGAAAAGCAAGUGUGUCAGAAGAUAGAAUUUGAAGAUCAGACAAAAGUCAACUAACUUUUGUUCCCAAAGCCAGGAACGUUGAAUUCCCAUAGUGGAAACAUAAAGGAGAAGUGGUGAAGUCCAUGGAAGACUGUUGCCUCUGCAUUUGUUGGUGGGCCUGGGGUCACUUUUUCUAUCAAGGCUGACAGUUGGGAAAAAAAAGAGUGAUGUGGCCCAUGGGACAGUGAGAAGAAGAUGAAAUUCAUCAUGGUCUGCAUCUGACAAUUGCUGUCACUGAUCAUGAUGACAUACUGAUAGUAAAAUUUGUUUGAUCUUUCUAAAUCUCUCUAAAUCUCAACAAUUGUAUUUUUAGUCAACUCAGAACAUAAAGGAAAGAAAAUUCUUUGGGACUGUGAUUCCAGCUUAGAUAAGUUGAUAAAUUACAAAGCACUAUGUGAUUGACAUGCAAGAAAAAGGAAUCCCAUGGAAAAUGUUAUUUAUAAAUUCCUAUGGUAACACAUAGAACCUUUGUAUUGCCGUUUUAUCUUCACUAAUAUUAGAUAUCAUCAAUGCAAAUGACAAGUAUUUUACUGUGAGAUUUCCAACUUUGCAAUUAAAACCAACUUUUGCAAUUGCAAGGGAAUAUAUAAUAUAGUUACCUUUUAAUUAUUUUUAGUAUUUCAUAAAUAUACUGUAUAGAUCUCACCACAAAAUCAUAGUUAAAAAUUAUAUUCAGUAAUUUACUUUCUGUAUUCAGAAUGUUACUAGUGAUGAUGACACAUAGUAAAGAAGGAAAAGAAAUGUAAUUUGAAAUAUCAGCAUAUUUUUGUCUAGAGUUUUGUCUAGAUUUUGUCUACAAGCUAGCUAUGCUGCUUGUACCAACACAGGGCAAUCAAGUGAAAAUGAAAAAGUUUAAACAAGUAUCUUACAUGACUGGUGCACAAAAAAAAUUGUAGUUAUUUUUCAUUGAUAUUACUAUUUUUCUGAAAUGACUAGAGUUUUAAGUUCACAUACCUGAAAUCUGGUUUUAUGUUUGCUUUCUUGUGGUUACAAGUUCUAUCAGCAUAAUAUUUCAGAAGAUAAACCAUAACUUCAAAGCAAUGAUAUUGACCAAAACAUCUGACAAAUGUACCUCACAGAAGUUUCUGUUUGCACUAAAUGAAAACUAUUCAAAACCCAUUUAAAUGCACUGUCAGCCUUUUAUACAUUGUAUAGCACUUUGUAUUUCAGGUUUAUGAAUAUAUGCUCUUCCAUUUUAUAAGAAAUAAAAGUGGAACUAAGAGCUGGUAUUUCAAUUUUCAAGAGAGUAAUACUGUAGGGUACAGGAUUUGACAAGCUUCCUGUAACUCAAGCUUUUCCCAAUCUAAUAUGCUUACUCUUGCUGGAAGAAAGAACCCUAAAUAUCUGUAUUUAUUAAGCCUUCUAAGAAACUAUUCAAAUAAAUACAUAUUUAAAAGUUUCAGUUGAAGACUGACAUCCACAUGUUAGAGGUUAUCACUUCUUUUCUUUUCUUUUUUUUUUUUUUUAGGUCCCCAAACUUAUUUGCAAACGUUAUGGGCUUAUUGUGGAUUUUACAGUAAGAUUUCUUGAUAAAGGUGAGGUAUCAAAGGAACACUUUCGUCCUGAUAACUCACUAAAGUGAGAGAAAAGAGCUUUUUAUAUGAUAUAUAUUGACAAGGACAUAGCUGGAGAUGGGACAAGGUCAGUGACAUCUUGGAACUGCAAAGCAGAAGUAGGGAUUGACUGACUUCACAGGUCUAAGAAAGCUGAAUCCUGAGUUAAUUGUACCGUCCCCAAAAGGCCCUGGAAUUGGUAACAUCCAGGAUCUCUAUAAGUGUUGGAUAAAAGAGGGUUGUCUUAAAGUCUCAUUAAAGACCACGUGGAAGACAGGGCAAAGUGAAAACUUAUAUAAUGAAUAUUGAACUUUUCCGCUGACAUAGUUUGAAUAUAUGUUCCUGACAAAGCCCAUGUUGAAUUGUAAUUCCAAUGUUGGAGGUGAGGCCUGGUGGGAAGUGUCUGGGUCAGGCCAGCAGGUCUGUCUUGGCCUGCUGCUGUCCUCAUGAUGGUGAGUUCUAAUGAGGUAAAAAUAUCUUCUUCAAGGAGGUGAUAUUUGUGCUGAAUCUUGAAAGGUGGUUGUGUUUACAUGCAGACUAGGCAGAAUGGGGAUUUUCAAGAUUUUAGGAAAAGAUAAAAGAAUAUGUGAAAGGUUCAAAAUGCAUUGUUGGAGGAGCUGCAUAGAAUUAGUGUUCAUUCUUCCACUAAACCAAGACAUAUGGUUGGUCACCCAUCAGCAGAGAGUGCACAUCAAGAUUUAUGACAUGAAAUUUCAAAAGACAAUAAAGCCUUGGGAUUUGGUCAAGACAUUUCCUGGAGGACCUUGAAUGACAUAUUAACAAGGUCAGCUUUUAACCAGUGAGGAGCCUACAUCUUUGCUUCCAAUAAAAGAGUAUUGUCAUGUGAAGGAAAGCAUUUUAGUAAAAACUGUACUGGGAUCAUAACUUCCUAAAGCAGUAUUUUCAUGCUUUAUUUCCCCCUUGCUUGACUUUUUCUCUUCCAGUACUUUUCUCAAUACUCUGGGAGAACACAGCCUGUAUUAAAAAU
rnacentral:lncRNA from 1 species